UACAGAGACUGCAAGCGUUAUUCGGAUUCACUGGGCGUAAAGAGUGUGUAGGCGGUGCUCUAAGUUCGGUGUGAAAUCUCCUGGCUCAACUGGGAGGGUGCGCCGGAAACUGGAGUGCUUGAGCGUGGGAGAGGAAAGCGGAAUUCCUGGUGUAGCGGUGAAAUGCGUAGAUAUCAGGAGGAACACCUGUGGUGUAGACGGCUUUCUGGACCAUAGCUGACGCUGAGACACGAAAGCGUGGGUAGCAAACAGG
rnacentral:rRNA from 1 species